rnacentral:misc_RNA from 1 species
GAUGAAGAACGUAGCGAAAUGCGAUAAGUAGUGUGAAUUGCAGAAUUCAGUGAAUCAUCGAAUCUUUGAACGCACAUUGCGCCCCUUGGUAUUCCAUGGGGCAUGCCUGUUCGAGCGUCAUUUGUACCUUCAAGCUUUGCUUGGUGUUGGGUGUUUGUCUCGCCUUUGCGUGUAGACUCGCCUUAAAAUAAUUGGCAGCCGGCGUAUUGAUUUCGGAGCGCAGUACAUCUCGCGCUUUGCACUCAUAACGACAGCGUCCAAAAGUUCAUUUUACACUCUUGACCUCGGAUCAGGUAGGGAUACCCGCUGAACUUAAGCAUAUCAAUAAGCGGAGGA